UACGAAGGGGGCUAGCGUUGUUCGGAAUUACUGGGCGUAAAGGGCGCGUAGGCGGCUCGGCACGUCCGUUGUGAAAUCGCCCGGCUCAACUGGGCGGGGUCAGCGGAUACGGUCGAGCUUGAGCAAGCUAGGGGGCAAUGGAAUUCCCGGUGUAGUGGUGGAAUGCGUAGAUAUCGGGAGGAACACCAGUGGCGAAGGCGGUUGCCUGGGGCUUUGCUGACGCUGAUGCGCGAAAGCGUGGGGAGCGAUCCGG
rnacentral:rRNA from 1 species